AUUAUUAUUUUCUAUUGUUUUCUUAUAUUGAAUCAAAAUGAGUUUUAUUCAGCAAUAUUUAAUAACGCUUACAUUACUAGUAAUUUCAGUUUGGAUUAUCCCUGCAACUUCUACUGAAGAUGAAUUACUUUUAAAAUAUAUCUGUCAAAAUCUUCAUGGUUUGGCUUCAGGAUUAAACG